rnacentral:lncRNA from 1 species
UCUCAUCGGAGCGAUCCAUCGGCCUUUUCUCCCUCUUUGUUUUUCUGAUGGAUGAACUUGAUCAAUCUAUAUGGGGCCGUACAAUAUCACGUCUGUAUCUGUAUGGGUGUAUAUACCGACUCGAACUUGACGUGUCAUCAAAUACCACGAUUGGUAAGACAAAGUCCUACUCGGACAGUAACACGUGGUGCAUCGUACCAACUCAAACUCGGCUUACCAUACAGAACGUGUAUGAUUUUCUUCUUCUCAAAAGCACGCAAAUUACAGAACCCGGUGCCGAUCC